AUUUGAAUGGACCAUCACUUUUAUGCGGAACGAACAGUUGGCAAAAUAAUUCACAAAAAGUCAGCAUGAUGUCGAUGAGCGACGAGAGAGAAAGAAAAAGAGAAAGAGAGAGAGAGAGAAAGAGAGACAUUAGAGUCGAGUACUCGAACAAGUGUUAAAGUUUAUGUCUCAUUAUUAUUAUUAUUAUUAUUAUUAUUAUUAUUAUUAUUAUUGAUUACCCUACCCUCGGACCGAUAGAUCAUUCAUAUAUCGUACUUGUUCGUCUACUUGACUUGGAGUACAUGAUCGAAUGGAAUGGAGCAAUCAGUGGUAAGCCUGCGAGCGCCGCAGCCAAAGAAUUCAAGUAACCAUAACACAACGUAUUGCCAGUGUUCGAAAUAUUAUCAUGUUUUAUGAACUAAGGGCGUGUAAAUAUGUACAAGGAUGGAUCUAGAGCGAAUGUGAAUCAUGUAUAAAUGAUGAAAUGGCAUGGCAAAAAGCCUCACAUUCUCGGAAAGUACAUAAAAGAAUCUUAUGGAUAAAUGAUAAAUGAAACAAUCGAGGGCACCGCCACUUAAGCCAGAAUUACCUGGAUGCAUUUUUAAAUACCGUUGGAAAUAGUUACUUGAAAAAAGAAGAGAAACACUUAUCUACGAAGUAAUAAGAAGUUCGAAACAUUCUUAUCUAUGAUGAAGUUUGCGAUCAGUAAAAACUAUCGAUUCGAGCACUUUCGAGCACUUUAGAAUGGUCAAAAGAGAAAGAAAGAGAUAGAUAGAUAGAUAGAUAGAGAAAGAGAAAGAGAGAGAGAGAGAGAGAGAGAGAGAGAAAGAGAGCGCAAAGUAUCCUCUUAAUUGAUAUGCAAGCUUCAAGAGCUCUACCGACGAGCUAUCGCGGUGCUAAACUAAAUUACUUUUCAAGGUUCAAGGAUGCUUGUAAAUAUUAAAAUAUAUCUACUCGAAAGUAUACUUGGUACAUUUUCAGACGGACUAAGAUGUUUUCUACGCUUCGUUCAUUCAUAGAAAAAAAAAAGAAAAUAUAUAAUUUUAUUUUGUCUGUUGAUCUACGUUGGAGCCUAAUAAAAUGUAACUACUGUUCUGUACAAUUUCUUGAAAAGCAAAAGCGCUGUAUGUACUAUAUAGUAAAAAUGUUCAGAACUAUAAAACUGAAUUAGCCCAAAUCAUUGUCAGCAGAAAUUUAUAAAUUUUUAACGAAUUGCGUCUAAUUUGUAAUUAUUCGUACAUAUUUUGCGGUGUAAGAAAGCGAUCGUUGUAAAAGAUUACGCGAUAUUAUAAUAGAUUCAAAAUAAAAUAAAGUCAUCGU